rnacentral:lncRNA from 1 species
CUCAACACUAGACCUACAGAGGUCAGAAGGAGCCCUUGCCUUCAAGGAGAUAGGUAAGUAAACCAGCAAAUAGACACUUUAUCCAUUCCACAAGUGUUUAUGGAAUACCUACUGUGUCCUGGCACUCUGCUUAGCUCUGAGGAUUCAGCAAUGAAUAAGACAGGUGUGAAAAUAAGUAAUUCAAAAUCUAAGCUGUUGGAACUCCAAACUAUUUUGAUCCUUAAAGAAAUGUGAUUAUGGGGCCUGAGUCACGUUACAAGCAGCUGUAACCUGGGAAGCUGUAAUCUUUGUUUCUAUGAUUAUAGAUUAACCUUCCUCCUUGCUUACAUUGUUGUACAAAAUGUUACAAAUGACUAAAGGGCUCCAGGAAAGACCCCUUCCCUGUUACUGUUGAUUUUUAUUAUAGAUUAACUUCCCUUUUAGUUUCUCACCCAAAGGUUUCAUGGCUAUCACACCGUGUUAAGAUGGAGUGUUAAAUACCUCUUUUAAAUCAGAAAGGAAAUGAAAACCAACUGUAAAGAAAACAAGCCAUACAGAAAAGAAACUCAUAAACUAGCGUUCUAGAAAAUGUUAUAAACCUACUAAACUUCUUUGUUUUCUGCCUAUAUAUGCAAUAAUUUAACUUUGAACUUUGGAACACUGACUCUAUUUCUCUGGAGUCUGUGUCUCCCAAAUGGCUAUUCCCAGCUUUUUACUUGAAUAAUCUCGACUGGAUUUUGAUCCUUUUGAUUAUUUCAGGUUAACCCAGACCAGGCCAUGAAGAUUGUAAAUCUGUGUGGGCUUGCAAGGCCUUAUAUGAUGGGAUUUUGCACUUGCUGUUUCCUCUGCCUAGAAUGCUUUAUCUUUGCAUGGCUCGGUUCAAAUGUCACCUUCUCAGAGGGCCAGCCUUCCAUGACUGUCUUAUUUAGUGCUGUUCCUCUCUUCUAGUCACUGUUGAUUGUAUGAUCUUGAUUUCCUUCAAAGCACUUAUUACUAUCAGAGAUGAUGUGUGUACUUGCUUUUGGUCUGUCCCUCUUGAGGACAGGGACUUUGAUUGAUUUGGUAUCUCUAAGUGUUUAAACGGUAUCUGGAAUAUUUUGGGCACCUAAAACACAUUUGAUGAUGGGAUGAAACAACGAAUGUGUGGAUGGUGCUGGAGAAAGGCAUUCAACAAAUAAGGCAAUUUCAGAUAGUGAAAGUAUGGGUACUCAGAGAAGGUUAAUGGAGAAGUGGAGUCAGUAUUCUGAUGUCUGAGCAGAAAUGUAAAGGAAGAGUUGGCUAGGCAAAGAAAACAAUGUAAGCUGGAUCACAGAGGUGUGAAAGCAUGGCGCAUGGGGGAUUCACAAGUAGUGAGAAUGCCUAGAUUAUAGGUUCACCUAGGGGCAGAUAGCAAGGGUGAGAGCUCCAAGGAGCUGACUUGUCUUACGAAGAUUUGAAUUGCAACCUAAAGGCAAAAUGUAGUCACAGAGGCAUUUUAUGUAGAAGUCACAUAAUAAGUUAUGUAUCUUAGAUCAUUCUGGCACCAGAGAGUAAGAUAGAUUCGAAUAGAUAGGUUACAUGUAGGAAAAAAGGUAUUUUCCCUGCUCUCACACAGCUACUCAACACUUCUGACUCCAGAUGUGUGGGGAUUUUCCCACAAACAUCAAGCAGUUCUGCUAUGUACACCAUCUGGGUGUCCGCUAAUUCAAUUCUGUUGACACUAUCUACCUGGAGAUAGCAUCAGAUCCCAUAGGUUGAGGACUUAGUCUUACAAAACUGUCCCCCACUUCAGAUGCCAAUCACAAGCCCCAGGUUGCAGUCUGUACUUCUGACAACUAUAAAUCAGAGUUCCCACAACCCCUCCUAAAUCAUUCUAUUAAUUUCCUAGAGUGACUCACAGUAUGCGGGGAAACACUUAUGUUUACCCAUUCAUUAAAAAGGACAUUGCAAAGGAUACAGAGGAACAACCAGACAAGAGAUGCACAGGGCAAAGUACGCGGGAAGGGGAGCCAGGCUUCCAUGCCCUUUCCAGGCAAGCCACCUUCUAGGAACCUCCGCAUGUUCAGCUAUCCAGAAGUUGUCCAAACCCAAGCCUUUUGUAUUUUUAUGGAAGCUUCGUUAGGUAGGAUGAUGGAUUAAAUUACUGGCCAUUGGCAAGGAGAUUAACCUACAGCCUUUCUCCCCUCCCCAAAGGUUGGGGGAUAGAGCUGAAAGUCCCAACACUUUAAUCCUGCCUUGGUUUUUCUGAGGACCAGUCCCCGUGCUGAGGCUAUCAGGGGCCCCAAUCACCAGUCAUCUCAGUAGUAUACAAAAGGCACUCUUACCACUCUGGAGAUUCCAAGGGUUUUGGGAGUUGUAUGUCAGGAAAUGGACUAUGACCAAAUAUAUGUUUCACAGUAUCGAAGAAUGGAAGUAGGUUGGGGGCACAGAGAUUAGUGUGGGAACAAUUACAGAAAUUAAAGGAAAAAUUAAUUAGGGGCCUAAUCUAAGGCAGUGGCAGAAGAGAUGGUGAGGAAAACAGUUGAAGAUUUUUAAAGAGAGACUUAUUAAAAUAAUGGCAAAGAGAUGUAGGUGAGUGAGUUGGGGGGAAGAAUGGGUUGAUUCCCAGGUUUCUCACUUGGUACCAAUCACCCAGGUUGAUGCAUUAAGUAGAGAAGAGAUAAUUAGCUUCACCAGCUCUCAAAGUCAUUGAACUGCUGGGGCACAGGUGCCUGCAGUUGUGUACGUAGUCCUUUGGCUAAAAUCUGAAGGAUAACCCUCGUAAUGCUUUAAUGAAACACAGCUUUGCUCAUCUUGGCAACCUGUGCUGACUGCUGUCUAUAAAACUUCUAGCUGUACCAGUUUGGGUGUAAGGAUAUGGUGUUUGUCUUCUAAGAAAUCUUAGCUACUGGCCAGGCACAGUAGCUCACACCUGUGAUCCCAGCACUUUGGCUGAGCCAGGAGGAUCACUUGAGCCCAGGAGUUCAAGACCAGCUUGGGCAACAUAGGAAGAUCCCACCUCUACAAAAAAUAAAAAUUUAGCUGGGUGUGGUAGUGUGUACCUUGGUCCAAGCUACUUGGGAGGUUGAGGCAGGAGGAUCACUUGAGCCUGGGAGGUUGAGUGUGCAGUGAGCCAUGAUCAUGCCAUUUGCACUCCAGCCUGGGCAACAAGAGCGAAACUCUGUCUCAAAAAAAAACAAAAAAACCCAGAUAUUUCAGACUAAAUGUAGUCCUCAGAAAAAGGCAGGUCCUGCUCAAGUAAUUUGGAGGUCAGUAUUGGAAAGAAAACUAGAGUUAUCUGGGAGGAUUUAUUCAAACUGGCCAGAAAUAAUUUGAAUUAGGAAUAGAUUAGACUUAAGUAAAAUUUUCCUGAACUCAUGUUGACUCAUGUACUAAAUAGAACAGGGCUGGCCACUGCUUUGUACUUAAAAUCAAUUACCUCGUUGGAAAGAGACAAUAUAACUUUUUGGCUGUCUUAGUUAAGACUGCUGUUAACAAAAAUACCAUACACUGGGUAGUGUAAACAACAGAAAUUUAUUCCUUACAGUUCUGACAGCUGGGAAGUUCAAGAUCAAGAUGCCAGCUCAUUCAGUUCCUGGUGAAGGCUCUCUUCCUGGUUUGCAAACAGACACCUUCUUGCUGUAUCCUCACAUAUCCAAGAAAGAGAUCAUCUCUUUUAUGUCUCUUCUUAUAAGAGCACUAUUCCCAUUCAUGAGAGCUCCACCCUCAUGACCUAAUUACUCCUCAAAGUCUCCACAUUUAAAUGCCAUCACACUUGAGGAUUAGGGCUUCAACAUAUAAAUUUUAGG